UGUGAGUGAAGAAGGCCUUCGGGUUGUAAAGCUCUGUCAAGUGGGAAAAAAUGCUUUUAGUGAAUAGCUAAGGGAGUUGAUGGUACCACUAGAGGAAGCACCGGCUAACUCCGUGCCAGCAGCCGCGGUAAUACGGAGGGUGCGAGCGUUGUUCGGAAUUACUGGGCGUAAAGGGCGUGUAGGCGGAUAGGCAAGUCAGAUGUGAAAGCCCCGGGCUUAACCUGGGAAGUGCAUUUGAAACUGUCUGUCUUGAGUAUGGGAGGGGAGAGUGGAAUUCCCAGUGUAGAGGUGAAAUUCGUAGAUAUUGGGAGGAACAUCUGUGGCGAAGGCGACUCUCUGGACCAAUACUGACGCUGAGACGCGAAAGCGUGGGGAGCAAACAGGAUUAGAUACCCUGGUAGUCCACGCGGUAAACGAUGAGAACUAGGUGUAGCGGGUAUUGACCCCUGCUGUGCCGCAGUUAACGCAUUAA
rnacentral:rRNA from 1 species